rnacentral:rRNA from 1 species
GAGUUUGAUUAUGGCUCACAACUAACGCUGGCGGCAGGCCUAAGACAUGCAAGUCGUACGAGAAAGAUCUUUCGGGAUUGAGUAUAGUGGCGAACGGGUUAGUAACGCGUGGGAACAUACACAGCACAGGGGGAUAACCAUUGGAAACGGUGGCUAAUACCGCGUACGCCCUAAGGGGGAGAGAGUAAUCGGUGUUGGAUUGGCCCGCGUUAGAUUAGUUAGUUGGUGGGGUAAAGGCCUACCAAGGCGACGAUUUAUAGCUGGUUUGAGAGGAUGAUCAGCAACACUGGAACUGAGACACGGUCCAGACUCCUACGGGAGGCAGCAGUCGGGAAUAUUGUGCAAUGGGGGCAACCCUGACACAGCCAUGCCGCGUGAGUGAAGAAGGCCUUAGGGUUGUAAAUCUCUUUCAGAUGUGAGGAUGAUGACGAUAGCAUCACAAGAAGCUCCGGCUAACUUCGUGCCAGCAGCCGCGGUAAUACGAAGGGAGCAAGCGUUGUUCGGAAUUACUGGGCGUAAAGGGCGUGUAGGCGGAUUAUCAAGUUAGGGGUGAAAUCCCGGGGCUUAACCUCGGCACUGCCUUUAAGACUGAUAAUCUAGAGUAUGUGAGGGGAUAAUGGAAUACCUAGUGUAGAGGUGAAAUUCGUAGAUAUUAGGUGGAACACCGGUGGCGAAGGCGAUUAUCUGGCACAUAACUGACGCUGAGGCGCGAAAGCGUGGGGAGCAAACAGGAUUAGAUACCCUGGUAGUCCACGCCGUAAACGAUGUAUGCUAGUUGUCGGACAUUGGUUCGGUGACGCAGUUAACGCAAUAAGCAUACCGCCUGGGGAGUACGGUCGCAAGAUUAAAACUCAAAGAAAUUGACGGGGGACCCGCACAAGCGGUGGGAGCAUGUGGUUUAAUUCGAANCAACGCGAANAACCUUNACCCACCCUUUGACAUUGGUAGUUNAGGGGNUAUUGGAGAACANUACCUUUUCA